rnacentral:rRNA from 1 species
GUGUCAGCCGCCGCGGUAAGACGAACCGUGCAAACGUUAUUCGGAAUCACUGGGCUUAAAGCGUGCGUAGGCGGCUCAGAAAGUUGGGUGUGAAAUCCCUCGGCUCAACCGAGGAAUUGCGCUCAAAACUACUGAGCUCGAGGGAGUUAGAGGUGAGCGGAACUAAUGGUGGAGCGGUGAAAUGCGUUGAUAUCAUUAGGAACACCGGUGGCGAAAGCGGCUCACUGGGACUCUUCUGACGCUGAGGCACGAAAGCUAGGGUAGCGAACGGGAUUAGAUACCCUCGUAGUCC